CUUAAUCAUGUGCAAGGGAUGACGCAGGGAAAAAGGGUCAGAACACUGUUUAGGGUUGACUGCUGUUAUCGGUACCCAGAUGUUACCUAAAAUACGUUAUUUUUCAACUAUAGCCGUAUUUCAUUAUUUCGAUCACAUCUUAUUUCACGAGAUUUUUGCAAAUUUUGUUUCACAAAGUUAUACACUUGUAUAUAACCUAUUAAAUAAGUUAUACCACAUUGGUAGGCACGUUGUGAUUUUAAUGACUAAAAUUCACAAAAUGAAAAUUCUAUCGUCUGAUAUGAUCAUUAUAGUAAAACAUGACUAUGGUAUAAAAUUGAACUGCAUUCGGCUACGUUCUGAGCUCAAUCGAAGCGGUCAACCCUAAUCUCUACGUUUUGGGAAUAGAGUUGACCGUUUCAAUCAAGCCUUUAACGUUACUGAAUCGAGUUGAAUUUUCUACCAUAGACGUAUUUCACUGUAAUGAUCAAAUCAUACGGUCGAUUUUGGUUUUAUGAAUUUUAGUCAUUGGAAUCAUAACGUGUCUACUAAUGUGAUAUAACUUGUUUAGUUAGUUAUAAACAUGUAUACAGCUUUGUGAACCAACUAUAUAGAGGAAGCAAAGAGGAAGCAAAAUUUUCAAAAAUCUCGUGAAAUGUGAUGUGAUCGAAAUAGUGAAAUACUGCUAGGGUAGAAAAAUCACUUUAAUUCGGCAACGUUUGGGACCUGAUCAAAGCGGUUAACCCUAUUUACGCUUAUGUUUUACUAAGGGUGCCCUAUCUUGGGGUAGUAAACAUCCUCAAAUUUUUACAUGGGUGGUUACAUCUCAUCUAUGUGAGAGUUUAGUGUGUGAAAUAAUCGACCAAAUUAGGUUACAAAGGGAUACUUAAGAGCGUUUCCGUAUGAUAAGUGUCACAUCCCGACCUUUAAAUUUUUAUCUUAUUUACUAGCUUGAUUAUAAUAAGAAUUUUACCGUCUCCGUCAUUGAGGUAAUAGUUUAAUUGGUCCCUAGAGGUGUUUUAAGGGACGAUUAAUUUCGGGGAAUUAUUCGUGGGAGAAAAUAUGACAACGGUAAAAAAAUGGUAAAUUUUAGCUAGUAAAAGGUAAUUUUUAUUAGGGUAUUAUUUUGGGGUGUAAAUUUUAGAGUGGGUUUUGGUGUAUAAGGUUGUUGGACCGGGUGCUAGAGGCCCAUUUUUCUUUUCUCUUUUUUCUUCUCUUUUCUCCUCCCGGUUCCCUCUCUCUCCCGAGCCCCUCCCGCUGUCCGGUUUUCCGGCCGUCCUCCUGCUGCCGUCCGGCCACUAGCUGCCGCCGCUCUAGCCCAGUUCGGAGCCCCGUCACCUCCUCUCCCUUCCCGGUCUAGUGGCCCCGCCGGUAACGCCGCCAAGCGGGUGUUUUCCCUCCGGAGACGCCGGACUAUCCUUUGCCGGAACUCUCUCCUCCGGCCACCAAAACCGGCGAUCCUUGGCUCGUUUUGUAGCCCUCCUCCCGUGCAGCAACCCCUCCAAACAGCUCACCCUCUCUUGAGCUAGGUAAGGAGAAAUGUGAAGUUGAAAUUCUAUAGCGUUUUUAAUGUUUUUAGUCGAUUACCCUAGUUAGGCUUGGAAUUGGUAUUUGUGCUAGUUAGGAAAGUUGUAGAGCAUGAUGAGAGGAAGAUGCUGUCAAAAUUUCAUAGGUUUUGGAGGUCACCGGAAUUGGCCUCCGGCCGCCGCCGGUUUGGGAGAUUUUAGGGUUUUAAAUGUGGAAUAUUAAGGGGAUUAUAUUGAUGUGAUUUAUGGAAUUUUUGGAUGAGAUUUGGAUAGGUUUGUGAAUUUCCGAAGUUUGAUAUUUUUAGCGGUUAAUUAAUGUAGAAUCCGGCCGUAAGAUUUAAGUCGUAUUUUUGGGGAGGUUGUAUUUACGACUGUCGAGGAUGAUAUUUAAGUUCGGAUCGUUCCGAUUUAAGAAUAUCGAAGUUAGGCAAUGAUGAGCGUAUUUAUGGCUCUCGGGUAAUUUUGCCUAUUUUGAUUAAAUAUUGGAUUGUUAGUUGGGAAAUUAAUAUUAUAUUUGGAACAGGACAUGAAGAGGAUCGAGCAGACGAGGCCCCAGAUCGACAUCAGGCUUAGGCCUAAUUUGUGAGUAGACUUUUGUUUUAAAUAAAAUGCAUGCUAGAGUUCAUGGUUGAACAAUAAUUGUUGCGGAAUAUUUUGACGUCAUUUUAUUUUGACGAUUUUAUUUCUCUUGGAGAGUUAUCGAAAAUGGGAUUUUCGGUGGAUAUAAAUAUGUAUUUAUGAGAGAGUAUGUAUAUAAAAUGCUAGCUAGCCAUAUGUGUCUGUCCACCUUAAUGGCGUAGCAUAUAGCCGCAUUAUGGUGUGACGUGAGCGUUGGACGUGAGCGUAGUAGCCCUAUUUGAGUGUUUAAUUUAUAUAAGGGCUAUGGACACAUAUUUAUACACUCGUCUGUCCACCUUAAUAAUAGCGUAGUGUAGCACCGCAUUAAGGCGUGACGUGAGAGUUGGACGCGAGCGUAGUAGCCCUAUAUAGACUCAUGAAUUUAUAUAGGGAGUAUGGACGAGUGUAAAUACAUACAUAUAUUAUAGAGUCUGAGAGGCUCGAUAUUUUAUGAGAUAAAAGUUUUAUCGCUUGCGGCAUGCAUUCGAUUUUUCCUUAGAAAUUAAUUUGGGGAAACAUAAAUAUUUUAUUUAUUAUUUUAUUUUUUUCCACUCACUCUAACAUUAUUAAAUGUUUUCCCCUGGGCCCUUCGUUUUAAAUUGCCCAGUCUGCAGAGUUCGGGUUGGAUCUAGUAGGAGGCGAGGCAUAGUCACCCGCAUUUCCGCCAGUUUUCAUCAGUAGGUUACAUGUUUAACCUACUCGUGUUUUCUUGCUUCCGCUAGUGUCUAGUAGCUCUGAAUACUUUGGGAUUAUUGUAUAUUAUGUUUAGAAUUUCUGAAGGAUAAUUAUGUGAUGUUUGGACGUGUUGUAUUAAGAGUGUAAUUUGGAAUUUUCGAGUUAGGGUUGUCCAUUUUCAAGGGAGAUUUUAGAAAUCUUCUCAGUAAAUUUUCCUUGGAGGUGGUCCCCGCACGACUUGCUCCGGGUUUCAGGGUGAAAUUCGGGGUGGGUCGUGUCAAUAAGUGACGAUGGAUUAGGGUUGAUCGCUUUGAUCAAGCUUUUAACGUCACCAAAUCGAGUUGAAUUUUCUACCACAGGUGUAUUUCACUAUAAUGAUCAAAUCAUACGGUCGAUUUUGGUUUUGUGAAUUUUAGUCAUUGGAAUCAUAACGUGUCUACUAAUGUGGUAUAACUUGUUUAGUUAGUUAUAAACAUGUAUACAGCUUUGUGAACCAACUAUAGAGAGGAAGCAAAAUUUUCAAAAAUCUUGUGAAAUAAGAUGUGAUCAGUAUAGUGAAAUACGGCUAGCGUAGAAAAAUCACUUUAAUUCGGCAACGUUUGAGACCCGAUCCAAGCGGUCAACCUUAUUUACUGUUAUGCUUUACUAAGGGUGCCUUAUCCUGGGGUAGUAACCGUCCCCAAAUUUUUAUAUGGGUGGUUGCAUCUCAUCUAUGUGAGAGUUUAAUGUGUGGAAGAAUCGACCAAACUAGGUCACGAAGGAGUACUUAAGAGCGUUUCCGUAUGAUAAGUAACGGUAUAUUAAGGUUGACCGGUUUGAUCAAGCCUUUAACGUCACCGAAUUGAGUUGAAUUUUAUAUCAUAGGCAUAUUUCACUAUAAUGAUCAAAUCAUACGGUCGAUUUUGGUUUUGUGAAUUUUAGUCAUUGAAAUCACAACGUGUCUACUAAUGUAGUAUAACUUGUUUAGUUAGUUAUAAACAUGUAUACAACUUUGUGAACCAAUUAUAUAGAGGAAGCAAAAUUUUUGAAAAUCUCGUGAAAUAAGAUGUGAUCGGUAUAGUGAAAUACGGCUACGGUAGAAAAAUCAUUUUAAUUCGACAACGUUUGAGACCCGAUCCAAGUGGUCAACCUUAUUUACUCUUAUGCUUUACUAAGGGUGCCCUAUCCUGGGGUAGUAAACGUCCCCAAAUUUUUAUAUGGAUGGUUGCAUCUCAUCUAUGUGAGAGUUAAAUGUGUGGAAGAAUCAACCAAACUAGGUCACGAAGAGGUACUUAAGAGCGUUUCCGUGUGAUGAGUGACGAUAGAUUAGGGCUGACCGCUUUGAUCGAGCCUUUAACGUUACCGAAUCGAGUUGAAUUUUCUUCCAUAGGUGUAUUUCACUAUAACGAUCAAAUCAUACUGUUGAUUUUGGUUUUGUGAAUUUUAGUCAUUGGAAUCACAACGUGCCCACUAAUAUGGUAGAACUUGUUUAGUUAGUUAUAAACAUGUGUAUAGCUUUGUGAACCAAUUAUAUAGAGGAAACAAAAUUUUUGAAAAUCUCGUGAAAUUGGAUGUGAUCGGUAUAAUGAAAUACAACUAGGGUAGAAAAAUCACUUUAAUUCGGUAACGUUUGAGACCCGAUUCAAGCGAUCAACCCGAUUUAUGCUUAUGCUUUACUAAAGGGUGCCUUAUCCUCGGAUAGUCAACGUCCCUAAAUUUUUACAUGAGUGGUUGCAUCUCAUCUAUGUGAGAGUUCAAUGUGUGGAAGAAUCGACCAAACUAAGCCACGAAAGGGUAGGUAAGAGUGUUUCCGUGUGACAAGUGACGUUUAAUUAGAGUUGACUGCUUUGAUCGAGCCCCUAACAUUACCGAAUUUAGUUGAAUUUUCUACCAUAACUGUAUUUAACUAUAAUGAUCACAUCAUACAGUCAAAUUUUGGUUUGCAAAUUUUAGUCAUUAGAAUCACAACAUCCCUACUAAUAUAUAACAAUUUUUGUCAUUGUACAAAAGUUUGUUUUUCAUAUGUUGCGUGAAUUGAGAC
rnacentral:lncRNA from 1 species